rnacentral:rRNA from 1 species
UCGGAAUUACUGGGCGUAAAGCGCGCGUAGGCGGUUAGUUUAAGUGAGGUGUGAAAUCCCCUGGGCUCAACCUAGGAACUGCAUUUCAAACUGGAUAACUUGAGUAUGUCAGAGGGUAUUGGAAUUUCCCCGUGUAGCAGUGAAAUGCGUAGAUAUGGGAAGGAACAUCAGUGGCGAAGGCGAAUACCUGGGAUAAUACUGACGCUGAGGUGCGAAAGCGUGGGGAGCAAACGGGAUUAGAUACCCUGGUAG